rnacentral:rRNA from 1 species
ACGUAGGGUGCGAGCGUUAAUCGGAAUUACUGGGCGUAAAGCGUGCGCAGGCGGUUUUGUAAGACAGGCGUGAAAUCCCCGGGCUUAACCUGGGAAUGGCAUUUGGGACUGCAAGGCUGGAGUAUGGCAGAGGGGACUAGAAUUCCUGGUGCAGCAGUGAAAUGCGUAGAUAUCAGGAGGAAUACCGAUGGCGAAGGCAGGUCCCUGGGCUAAUACUGACGCUCAUGCACGAAAGCGUGGGGAGCAAACAGGAUUAGAUACCCUGGUAGUCCACGCCCUAAACGAUGUCAACUGGUUGUUGGACGGCUUGCUGUUCAGUAACGAAGCUAACGCGUGAAGUUGACCGCCUGGGGAGUACGGCCGCAAGGUUG